rnacentral:misc_RNA from 1 species
AAAACUUUUAUCCGGGAAUUCGUUUCGUCUUUCCGGAUUAUUUGUAUUCAAAUCCCACUCUUUAUAAAUAUAUCAAUUAUAUAAAACAAAAAAUAAAAAAAGA